rnacentral:tRNA from 1 species
GUUUCCGUAGCUCAGCUGGAUAGAGCACCGCCCUCCUAAGGCGGGUGUCGGGCGUUCGAAUCGCCUCGGGAACACCA